UGGAGUCGCGAGUAGAGGUUGUAACCUAAAUCGAGACUUUAAAGCAGCAACAUCAACAUCAACACAAACACUCUGAUUUCGGCAUCCAAACUGUACAGACAGAAGCGGAGAGACCCUAAGAAAGGUUAUUAUUAUAGUUGCAUCUUAGGUGGCAGACAACGUAAGUGUGCACCAGCUGGUGACAGUCCCUGGAUGGAGCUUGGCGGCACAAAACCUCAAACGAUGGGAGAAAAUGCUCAAGUUGUAAAACAACGACAAAAAUGUAAUAGAUAUUUUACAUUCCGGAAUUCUGAUUCACAUGUGGAACGGCAUAAAGUACAAGGGGAGAUAACUCCUUUAUCAAACCAACUGGGACAGCAGCACAGAGAUUUUAUCUCUGCUAGCCUACAGACUCAAAUACAGCUAGGCGCUAGUACAAGGACGCAAAAACUUUUACCUACAGAUUGUCAAGGGUUUGCCUCGUGGAUGUUCGUUGUAAUGCUGCUGUUCAUGGUUUUUUCUCAUGUUGCUGCUGCUUUGACAGGGUGUCCAUCUCCAGACUACAUUUUGCAUGAGAAUGGAUAUUGUUGUGGUGUUGUGUCUUGUAAUAUAAAUUUCUCGGUGUCAGUGUGCCAAACUGAUUAUGGCAAUGACUCAUGUGUCAAAUGUCCUGAAGAUAGCUUCCUUUGGGACCCAACAACGUCAGAGAGGGUCACUGCAUGUGUGAAACCAGAAUGUUUGGAAGGUGUUACACGACCAUCAACAGUGAAGUCGACAGAGUUGAAUCCGAAUGCCUGCCCCCAGUGGUGUCAAUGUGACUUAGACGCUAAUUACUGUGGGACAGAUCCGUGUAGAUGUGAACAGAAGACAUGUGGAUUUGGGUCCAUCCUGGAGCAGAAUUGUGGGUGUAGACCUAAUACACCUAGUCCUCCUAGAACAACUCCUGUUAUUUCUACGACGGGUGCUCUCCCACCUGAUGACACUACAGGUCCUGAUGUCAGCAUGUCCAAGCCAGCAAUCAUUGCCAUUGCUAUAGCUGGUGUAGUUGUGAUCAUAGUGAUAGUGAUAGUUUUAUUGCUAUCGCAGACACAUAUCGAAGAAAAAGAGAAAAGAAACUGUAACAGAGGGAAACACUGGGAGUACUUCAGCUGACCGCGACAAGCCUGAUAACAGAACUGUAACAGAGGGAAACACUGGGAGUACUUCUGCUGAGCGCGACAAGCCUGAUAGCAAUGGAUCAAAAAAUGGAACUAUCAAUAUGGAUAGAACAGGCAAUUUACAGAUAGGUAACAACACAAAAAAGUAUCUAUCUAAUUCUACCAAUUCGGUGGAGAUGCAGACUAUCACACCUUUAAUACACCAGGAAGCUAGCCGUUCCAGCCGGGAAAUGGAUGUGAAUGUAGAUCAGGGUCCUUCAGUACCUGAUCGUAACUUAGCUGAAGAUGGUUCUCCGGAAUCUACACCACUCCUUGGUGGACAUUCAGACACCGACGAAUCUGGUACCUUUGGUGUUGAUGCAGGGGGAGAACAAUCGAUCGUGAAACACAAUUAAAAGAAAACUGUUGUGUCAGAAAACAGUACUUCAGCUUGUGAACCAAAACAACGAAAUGGAGUUGUCUCAGCAUCUACAACAUUUACCGGUUUUUGCUUACCUGGUCCAAAGGAUUGAUGUGAAGUUUGUUUUCAUUACUCAAUGGGCUCUUGAUGGAUUUUAUGUGAAGGUUCCCUUUGAAGUCUAACAAUCUGUACACACAUAGAGAGCUCGGGUGCCUGUGAAGGACCUUUUAUAUUAUAUAUUUAUAUAUAUAUUUUAUAUUUUAUAGGUAUAUUAUAUAAGAAAUUUUUAGGUGCUGUGGAAUGGCCACUUUAAGUGAUCAUCACCAAAUUUUGCUAGACCAAAUUCAUUCAAAGCUCUCUGGGAAUAAAACUAUCACUUAUUUCUAUGAUCAAUAUCCUGAUGAGUUCAGGAUGGGUCUAGAAAUAAUUCUUCCAAAAAAAUCUAACAACACACUGGAUGAUCCUGUUUGAAGACAUCUGUUUAAGAUAAAUUAAUUGUAGAAAAACUGUUAAAAUCAUGCACAAUGACCUGUUUUAACCCUGAGUAAUCCAAACUUUUUUCUCUGCCAAUUAUUACGCUUGCUGCCUGGCUUUUGCAAGGGGAGGUAACUCGUACGCACUCGAGUUGAUGCAACAUAAGAAAGUCACCUCAAGCUCUUGGGCUGAUAAAAAUGGCCCUCACCCAUCGAAUACUGUUUUUGGUCUCGGAUUUUCCAAUAAGAAAUCUUUAAGUGAAAUUUACAUUUGAUACUUAAAAUGAAAGUAGAAUACUUCUGAUUGAUUUGUCAAUUCCAAGAAAUAGGCAACAAAAAACUGGCCAUGCUGGUUUAGCUGGUUGAAGUGAUUAUGAGGCGAAAUUUCAACAUUAGCUUGUUUCUGCAACAAAGAUUCUGAUAAUGAUAAAGCGUGUUUCAAACCAGUCGAUCGUGAAAUGCUUGUAUAAAGUAUAUAACAUGAACUUGCGAUUCAACAAAUUACCAGAACGGAUAAGGUAGGCCCAUUCAUGAUUUUCGAGAUGAGUUUCUUCUAUUGAAAGUUGUCAAAUAUCGAAUCCCGAUACAAAUCAAUUGAUACACGCAGAGAAAAAAUUUUGAAAUUUAGGAACAAAAAUGUUCGGAGAGAGUAAUUCACAGUUAAACUGACUAAACAUUACCUUUCCACAUUCCUAACUAAAUAUUACCUUUCCAUAUUCCUAACUAUAAACAUUACCUUUCUACAUUCCUGACUAUAAACAUUACUUUUCCACAUUCCUAGCUAAACAUUACCUUUCCACAUUCCUAGCUAAACAUUACCUUUCCACAUUCCUAGCUAAACAUUACCUUUCCACAUUCCUAGCUAAACAUUACCUUUCCACAUUCCUGACUAAACAUUACCUUUCCACAUUCCUGACUAAACAUUACCUUUCCACAUUCCUGACUAAACAUUACCUUUCCAUAUUCCUAGCUAAACAUUACCUUUCCACAUUCCUGACUAAACCUUACCUUUCCACAUUCCUGACUAAACAUUACCUUUCCACAUUCCUAACUAAACAUUACCUUUCCAUAUUCCUAGCUAAACAUUACCUUUCCAUAUUCCUAGAUAAAUUUGUGCCUCAUUCCUGUCAAAUCUGUGCAUUCCAAGUUUGAUCAGGAUGUUCAUUGCUGAAAUUCCAAGUUAGAUGAUCAGUUCAGAAAAUUUCUUUAUAGCUGUUUUUAGAACAACAAAAAAUGUACCUCGGUAUACCACUGAAGAUGACAACACACUUAUGUCAGUUUCCCCUUAAUUUUCUUAUCAGGGUAACUUUUAAAAUGGAUUAAUAGUUUGUUUGAUGAUUGUAUAAUUGAAUUUUAUUGACUUCAGUUAAAGUCCAAUUAACAUCUUUCAUCUGAUGAAAUUAUUACAAACUAAUAUGUUCAUUCUUUUAAAAACUAACUCUGUAAAAGAGUGAUUGCAUUGUUAAUCAUAAUAAUUAUCAUUUCAGUUUUUAACUGUGAUACCACAGUCAUUUUACAGAUUCACAAAUUAUUCAUGGUUAAAGGGCCUUUAACAACAAUAUCUUUUUGAACUUCUGAGCUGCCAUUUCAUUGCUAACAACUAGCUUACAGCUGGAGCUGCCAUUUCGUUGCUAACAGCUUACAGCUGGAGCUGCCAUUUCGUUGCUAACAGCUUACAGCUGGAGCUGCCAUUUCGUUACUAACAGCUUACAGCUGGAGCUGCCAUUUCGUUACUAACAGCUUACAGCUGGAGCUGCCAUUUUGUUACUAACAACUUACAGCUGGAGCUGCCAUUUUGUUACUAACAACUAACACACGAGAUUUCUUGCACUGCUCUACCACGUACUCAUUUACAGCUGAGUGUACACCGUAGGAACACAACAGAGUAAAGUAUCUUGUUCUAGGAUACAACAGUGUCCGUAUCAGGACUCAAACUAGCGACGCUUCAGUCACGCAGGUCUGACCUGCCAUAAGACCACCAUACAUCUAGUUUCGACUCAUUGUAAAUAAAUAUACUUGCCAUAUGAUUAUGGUAAUUAUCCCACCGUGUCUAUAGCUGUUCACCAGAAAAGCCAUCAAAUGCAAUUGUCCUUUAUUUAGCCAAUCCCUGCCUCAUGUCACAGAGGGAUUUUGUUGGCCCUGUGGGCUUUUGCCUCGUUUCUCGGAGGGAUUUUGUUGGUCCUGUAGUCUUAUGCCUCAUCUUGGAGGCAUUGUGUUGGCCGUGUGGGCUUAUGCCUCUUGUCUUGGAGGGAUUUUGUUGGCCUUGUGGGCUUAUUGCAGCAUAAAUGUGGUAGCCAGUAAUACUGGUGUAGCAGUGGUUCUGCCCCGGGAUCGUACAUGUACUACAAACACGACAGCUCUGUGAAGUAUCCGUUUAUUCGUUACAGGAUCAGUAUUCAUCAUCAACCCAGACCAGCGUUCAAUUCUUUUCGAUAACAAAUCUAAACUCGUACGUACUGAGUCCUAGGUUAAGCUGUUUCCAGUAGGCCUAGUGUAAAUGUUACGUGUUCAUUAACGUUUUAGAGACAGGCGACGUUUAAAUAUGUAAUAUUUAAUUUCAUUAUUGUUUGUUUAAUGAAAUUAUUGUGUCGUUAGUUGAUGCUUUGAUGUCUUGAUCAGCUGAUAUUUUUUUAUGUUGAGCAACGAAACAAACAAUAAAGAAUCAUAUGAUAUGUAUUACAUAUUGGCUUACGAUGACACAAACUUUCAAGGAAUUACUGUGCAUGUACUUCAGUACACAUUAGCAGUAUAUUGAAUAAUUCCUUUUCAGUAAUAGAAGUUGUUUUUUUCUCAAAUUUUUAAUGAAAUAUUUAUAUUCUAAUGCUUUAAAUUUUGAAAUUAAAGUUUCUGACCUGCCCUGAAAUGGUUCUUAGGACAGUGUCAAAUUAUAUCAUCUUUUGCAUUAAUAAAUAACUGAAAUAAUUUUUCAAAUAUAUUUAAACCCUUCACUUUUAUGCACCAAAGAAAAUAAUAUGCAAGAAAGCUGUUCUGACGAAUUUAAGCUAAAAUAUUACAUGUGCCAAAGAAAGCCAUUUGCGAGAAACCUGUUCUUACAAAAUUUUACU